rnacentral:rRNA from 1 species
UACGUAGGGGGCUAGCGUUGUCCGGAAUCAUUGGGCGUAAGGAGCGUGUAGGCGGUCCGGUAAGUCCGCUGUGAAAGUCGGGGGCUCAACCCUCGGAUGCCGGUGGAUACUGUCGGGCUUGAGUACGGAAGAGGCGAGUGGAAUUCCUGGUGUAGCGGUGAAAUGCGCAGAUAUCAGGAGGAACACCAAUUGCGAAGGCAGCUCGCUGGGACGUUACUGACGCUGAGACGCGAAAGCGUGGGGAGCAAACAGG